rnacentral:lncRNA from 1 species
GCCAAGGGUUAAGCGAGGCGGGAGCCCCCGGCGCGGAGCGGCUCGGGGCCGGGAAUGCUUAGUCAGGAUUCCGAUUUCCUGUCGAAGUGUUUGGAUUUCCUGAAACCCGCGCCCUCCGCCGCCGAGCGGGAUCGUGCGAGCCGCUCGCGUCGCCGCGGCCUCCUCCCCCUCGGCACAUGGUCGCCCGCCCCUUCCUGCGCCGCGCUCGGCUCCCGCGCCUCGCCUGGCCUGGCCGCUGCCGCGGGCGAGCACUGUGCGCUGGGCAGCCCCGGGCCCGCGCCUCCCGCCCAGCCGGCGCUUCCCGGUCGCAGUUCGCUUUCCCACCCGAGAGCCGCGAGCGCCCGGCCGAACCCGCGAUGGAAUAAUGCCCAGCGGCCCGCCAGGUCCCGGUCGUUUUCUGAUGUGACGGCUGAGACAUGAGAUCUUCAGCCUCCAGGCUCUCCAGUUUUUCGUCGAGAGAUUCACUAUGGAAUCGGCUCUAGACCAAGAUAGAACAGCCCUUCAGAAAGUGAAGAAGUCUGUAAAAGCAAUAUAUAAUUCUGGUCAAGAUCAUGUACAAAAUGAAGAAAACUAUGCACAAGUUCUUGAUAAGUUUGGGAGUAAUUUUUUAAGUCGAGACAACCCCGACCUUGGCACCGCGUUUGUCAAGUUUUCUACUCUUACAAAGGAACUGUCCACACUGCUGAAAAAUCUGCUCCAGGGUUUGAGCCACAAUGUGAUCUUCACCUUGGAUUCUUUGUUAAAAGGAGACCUAAAGGGAGUCAAAGGAUACAAAAAUUGAGAAAGAGAAAAGAGAGCACGCAAAACAACAUGGGAUGAUCCGCACAGAGAUAACAGGAGCUGAGAUUGCGGAAGAAAUGGAGAAGGAAAGGCGCCUCUUUCAGCUCCAAAUGUGUGAAUAUCUCAUUAAAGUUAAUGAAAUCAAGACC